rnacentral:rRNA from 1 species
GACGAACGCUGGCGGCGUGCUUAACACAUGCAAGUCGAACGGAGUGGCGAACGGGUGAGUAACACGUGGGUGACCUGCCCUGCACUUCGGGAUCAGCCUGGGAAACUGGGUCUAAUACCGGAUAGUGUGGGAUGGGCCGGCGGCCUAUCAGCUUGUUGGUGGGGUAAUGGCCUACCAAGGCGGCGACGGGUAGCCGGCCUGAGAGGGUGGACGGCCACAGGGGGACUGAGACACGGCCCAGUAGGUGACGGGGGGCAGCAGGGGGGAAUCUUGUACAGUGGUCGGACGCGUGAUGCAGAGACGCCGCGUGGGUGAUGACGGCCUUCGGGUUGUAAACUCCUUUCACCAUAGACGCGGUAGAUGGAGAAGAAGCACCGGCUAACUACGUGCCAGCAGCCGCGGUAAUAC